rnacentral:rRNA from 1 species
GAUGAACGCUAGCUACAGGCUUAACACAUGCAAGUCGAGGGGAAACGACAUCGCAAGCUUGCUUUUGAUGGGCGUCGACCGGCGCACGGGUGAGUAACGCGUAUCCAACCUGCCCAUCACUUGGGAAUAACCUUGCGAAAGUAAGACUAAUACCCAAUGAUAUCCCACGAAGGCAUCGGAAUGGGAUUAAAGAUUUAUCGGUGAUGGAUGGGGAUGCGUCUGAUUAGCUUGUUGGCGGGGUAACGGCCCACCAAGGCAACGAUCAGUAGGGGUUCUGAGAGGAAGGUCCCCCACAUUGGAACUGAGACACGGUCCAAACUCCUACGGGAGGCAGCAGUGAGGAAUAUUGGUCAAUGGGCGAGAGCCUGAACCAGCCAAGUAGCGUGCAGGAAGACGGCCCUAUGGGUUGUAAACUGCUUUUAUAAGGGAAUAAAGUGGGUCACGUGUGACUUUUUGCAUGUACCUGAUGAAUAAGGACCGGCUAAUUCCGUG